rnacentral:tRNA from 1 species
GGUAAAAUGGCUGAAUUUUAGGCGAUAAAUUGUAAAUUUAUUUAUGAUAAUUUCUUUUACU